rnacentral:rRNA from 1 species
UACGUAGGGUGCGAGCGUUGUCCGGAAUUAUUGGGCGUAAAGAGCUUGUAGGCGGCUUGUCGCGUCGUCUGUGAAAUCCCGAGGCUCAACCUCGGGCCUGCAGUGGGUACGGGCAGACUGGAGUGCGGUAGGGGAGAAUGGAAUUCCUGGUGUAGCGGUGGAAUGCGCAGAUAUCAGGAGGAACACCGGUGGCGAAGGCGGUUCUCUGGGCAUGAUCUGACGCUGAGGAGCGAAAGUGUGGGGAGCGAACAGG